GAUGAACGCUGGCGGCGUGCCUAAUACAUGCAAGUCGAGCGAACAGAUGAGGAUCUUGCUCCUCUGACGUUAGCGGCGGACGGGUGAGUAACACGUGGAUAACCUACCUAUAAGACUGGGAUAACUUCGGGAAACCGGAGCUAAUACCGGAUAAUAUAUUGAACCGCAUGGUUCAAUAGUGAAAGACGGUUUUGCUGUCACUUAUAGAUGUAUCCGCGCCGCAUUAGCUAGUUGGUAAGGUAACGGCUUACCAAGGCAACGAUGCGUAGCCGACCUGAGAGGGUGAUCAGCCACACUGGAACUGAGACACGGUCCAGACUCCUACGGGAGGCAGCAGUAGGGAAUAUUCCGCAAUGGGCGAAAGCCUGACAGAGCAACGCCGCGUGAGUGAUGAAGGUCUUCGGAUCGUAAAACUCUGUUAUUAGGGAAGAACAAAUGUGUAAGUAACUAUGCACGUCUUGACGGUACCUAAUCAGAAAGCCACGGCUAACUACGUG
rnacentral:rRNA from 1 species